UACGUAGGGUGCAAGCGUUGUCCGGAAUUAUUGGGCGUAAAGAGCUCGUAGGCGGUCUGUCGCGUCUGGUGUGAAAAUCCAGGGCUUAACCCUGGACCUGCAUCGGGUACGGGCAGACUAGAGUGCGGUAGGGGAGAUCGGAAUUCCUGGUGUAGCGGUGAAAUGCGCAGAUAUCAGGAGGAACACCGGUGGCGAAGGCGGAUCUCUGGGCCGUAACUGACGCUGAGGAGCGAAAGCAUGGGGAGCGAAUAGG
rnacentral:rRNA from 1 species